GGCCUCUCUCCCAUUGGGCUGUGGGACCACUUUCCUCCUCAGCCAGGGCUAGAAGCCAAGAUCAGCCCUUGAGGAUCAUUGUCAGGACUGCCAUGAGUGGGCAGCCUUGUUUUCCUGCCUCAGACACUA
rnacentral:snoRNA from 1 species